AUUCUCAAAAGCUUCACACACUCUUGAUCAAGACAGUGUGAAGCAAAACUAAUUUAUGGUGCCAACAAAAGCUUCAUUAAUGAAGGGCAACUACAACUCGUAGAAAGGUUCACACACUCUUGAUCAAGACUAUUUGAAGCAAAUUCAAUUUAUAUGGUUCGUCCAAACCUUCGACUACUACAAGGUGUGGCUUGCAUCACAAUCUCUUGCUCAAUAGUGUGGAAACAAAAUUUGUAUAUGUUGUCUCUCCCACAUUUCCAAAUUUCUAGUUUCCCAA
rnacentral:lncRNA from 1 species